rnacentral:rRNA from 1 species
UUACCUGGCGGAUGUUACACAUGCAAGUCGAACGGCAGCACGGACUUCGGUCUGGUGGCGAGUGGCGAACGGGUGAGUAAUAUAUCGGAACGUGCCCAGUCGUGGGGGAUAACGUAGUGAAAAUUACGCUAAUACCGCAUACGAUCUACGGAUGAAAGCGGGGGAUCGCAAGACCUCGCGCGAUUGGAGCGGCCGAUAUCAGAUUAGGUAGUUGGUGAGGUAAAGGCUCACCAAGCCAACGAUCUGUAGCUGGUCUGAGAGGACGACCAGCCACACUGGAACUGAGACACGGUCCAGACUCCUACGGGAGGCAGCAGUGGGGAAUUUUGGACAAUGGACGCAAGUCUGAUCCAGCCAUUCCGCGUGCAGGACGAAGGCCUUCGGGUUGUAAACUGCUUUUGUACAGAACGAAAAGGUUUCUAUUAAUACUAGGAGCUCAUGACGGUACUGUAAGAAUAAGCACCGGCUAACUACGUGCCAGCAGCCGCGGUAAUACGUAGGGUGCAAGCGUUAAUCGGAAUUACUGGGCGUAAAGCGUGCGCAGGCGGUUAUGUAAGACAGAGGUGAAAUCC